rfam:Arabis alpina cultivar Pajares chromosome 3, whole genome shotgun sequence.
GGGUGCGAUCAUACCAGUACAAGUAUUAGUGCACCAGAUAUCAUCAAAACUCCGCUGUUAAACGGGCCAGGUGAAAGUAGUAAUAAGAUGGGUGACCCUUCUCGGAAGUCUUCGGGUUGCACCUC